rnacentral:rRNA from 1 species
UGGGGAAUAUUGGACAAUGGGCGGAAGCCUGAUCCAGCCAUGCCGCGUGUGUGAAGAAGGCCUUUUGGUUGUAAAGCACUUUAAGCGAGGAGGAGGCUACUUGGAUUAAUACUCUAGGAUAGUGGACGUUACUCGCAGAAUAAGCACCGGCUAACUCUGUGCCAGCAGCCGCGGUAAUACAGAGGGUGCGAGCGUUAAUCGGAUUUACUGGGCGUAAAGCGUGCGUAGGCGGCUUCUUAAGUCGGAUGUGAAAUCCCUGAGCUUAACUUAGGAAUUGCAUUCGAUACUGGGAAGCUAGAGUAUGGGAGAGGAUGGUAGAAUUCCAGGUGUAGCGGUGAAAUGCGUAGAGAUCUGGAGGAAUACCGAUGGCGAAGGCAACCAUCUGGCCUAAUACUGACGCUGAGGUACGAAAGCAUGGGGAGCAAACAGG